UUCCCCAGCUCAGGUUGAAUGGUCGAUAGAGCUUCCCGUCUGCGGCGGCCUUGCCGGAGAUCUCUUCUGAGUUCUGACGCCCCUGUACCCGCGGCGACAUCUCGUCCCACACCACCGGCUGGAGCUCCACCGCUCGACUCUCGGAUUCUUCCGCCGCGCGCGCAAGUGCGGAUCCUAGGCUCCCAGUGCAGAAGCAGUCCAGCAACUGCCGCCAAGGUCCCGUCCCGGCUUGUCGCGCGCGGCGCGCCGUCGCCGUGUGGCCGACGCCGACGGCAACCUCUGCCGCUGCAUUGGCGUCGUCCCCGACUCCGCGCCGGAGAAUUGAAACGAUGCGAUGCUCCGUUACUUGCUGGUGCAUCAGCAAGCAAAAGAGUACCAACUGGUUGCACAAAAGGUCGCUUCCUCACUUCGCUCUGUUGUACAGGAAAGAACGCAGUAUUUGUUAGGUUUGUAUCCGAUUCUCACCAUGAUAGCACUGCUGUCAGCACCCUAACCCACUGACUGGCAGGUUCAGUUUCUUCUCGUGCUGCUUAGCUGAUCGGAUAGCUACCCGACUUCAAUUUUCUUUUCCCGCCGUCAAGGAUCCUGGACCAACUUGUCACCCUUAGUAAUCUGGGAUUUUUUUUUUUUGAUGUGUUCUUAUCGUUUAGAGCAGGCACCGUACCGUGAUGGCGUCAGGCACAGGCACUGAAGUUUGGUGGAGGCUAUACGUUCGGAGCAACAAGCAAGGAAAUCUGGUUUCAGAUAAUCACCAAAGGGAAACGGAACUACGUACUGCAAGAUAGGCUGCAGCCGGCUAAGUAUGCAGUGUAUCUGAAACAAGUGGAGUUGUUCUUUUGAGAUAAACAUUCAUUCAACUGACCCCAAUCCUCCUCCUACCAACUACAAUAAUAUCCUAGAAGAUUCAACAAAAUUUUGAUA